UGAGGAAUAUUGCACAAUGGGCGAAAGCCUGAUGCAGCGACGCCGCGUGGGUGAAGAAGGUUUUCGGAUCGUAAAACCCUUUUCUGUGUGACGAGAACGGACGGUAGCACAGGAAUAAGUCUCGGCUAACUACGUGCCAGCAGCCGCGGUAAAACGUAGGAGACAAACGUUAUCCGGAGUUACUGGGCGUAAAGGGCGUGCAGGCGGCAGUCUAAGUCUGGCGUGAAAUAUCCCGGCUCAACCGGGGGAAGGUCGUCGGAUACUGGGCAGCUAGAGGACGGUAGAGGCGUGUGGAAUUCCGGGUGUAGUGGUGAAAUGCGUAGAGAUCCGGAGGAACACCAGUGGCGAAGGCGACACGCUGGGCCGUACCUGACGCUAAGACGCGACAGCAUGGGGAGCAAACAGGAUUAGAUACCCGCGUAUUCCCUGAGCGGGCUGGCAAGGCGCAU
rnacentral:rRNA from 1 species